rnacentral:lncRNA from 1 species
CUCGUCCAAAACUGUGGAAGUAAAGGACAAACUGGAAGCAUGGAUGUCAUUUUAGAGAAAAAUUAUGGCGCCAUCAACAUAAAUAUUAGUAUUGAAAAACAAGCAUAUACACAGGGGCGGACGCAGACAUUUCGAACCAGGGGGUCACAAUCAAACUUUCCAAAAAAGUGACGAAAAAUUUAAAGUACGAGAUAUCUUCUUACAAUUGUUGUCAACAUGUUCUCAUACUUUGAUAACAGUCUACAAUUACAUCAUUUUCAAUCUUAUAAAAAAUAUCUUGCUCAAUAUAAGCAAUCAAACUAUCAUUUAACCAUUGAUCUCCGAUUCGAUUGUGUAGACGAUUUUUGACAUAAGGCAUCGCAGAAAAUGCUCUCUCAACUGUAGCAGUAGCCACGGUAAGAACUAAAGCUAAUGUCACAAGCUUGUAGACUAAUGGAUACACCUUAUGUUUAUUGUUCGCAACCAACUUCUAUGUAAGAUCACUAAUACCUUGUAAUCCUUCAAAAUCUUCGAAAGUGCGCAUAUGAAGAAUAUAUGUAUCUAAUUGAUCAUCAAGUUCGAAGAUAUCUACUGCAUCAAAAUCUAUUGGAUAAUACUGACAUAGUCGCAACACUUUUGUCUUGUCAAAAGCAGUAAAUGUUAUUUGGAGACAAACACGCAACAUAAAAGAGCAAGCCAAUGUUCACCUCAGAAAAAUGAUCAUUAAACUCUUGAAAUUGCAUAUCAAUGAUGGCAUAAAACAUUUCUACCCGAAAAUGAUGCAAAUUUGUCACUGUCUCACGCUGUGAACGACCUAGAUUUAUGAACAUAUAAUCCAUAUUGGGAACAUUGAUAUUAUGAGUUUCACAGAACGAACAACCCAGUCCAAAAAAAGAAUCUCAUCCAUCAUCCCUUAUGGUUUGGAGCUGAGCUUUACAUAUUUACACAAAUCUCAUACUAUUGACAAUAUCCCAAUCUUUUCUUUGUAAAGCUUUAGACAAUUCAUUUGAAAUCUCUAAAAUCAUUUUUAUGAGAUGUAGAUUAAAUGCAAAUUCAAAUCUUAACAUCAUCUCCAAUGAAAUACAUGCAUCACAUCUUGUUCCAGUACUUGUAGUGUCAGAAGCUAUCCUCUCAAUAACGUCGACUAUGGUUGGAAACAUGACAAUUAAGUUAAUCAAACAACUAUAGUGAGAGUUCUAACGUGUAUCACAGGACGCUGAAGUGUAAUUUCUUAAUUGAGACCCCGUUCGCUUGAUAUUUCACCAACACUGAGUGAUUCAAAAAUUUUCAAUCUUUCGUUCUCUCGAAUAAGAUUACUCUAUUUAGCUGAUCCCCUAACAUUAUUCACUAAUUUGUGUAUUGUAGUGAAUAACAUUUCAAUCUUUGGAUGUUUCUGGGCCACAGCUACAAGUGCUAGUUGAAGUUGAUGAGCAAAACAAUGAAUGUAGUAAGCACUUGAGUUUUCUUUCAAAAUAGUGCUUUGAGGCCAUUAUACUCACCUUGCAUGUUACUAGCUCUAUCAUAUCUCUGACCUCUCAAAUUAGAUAUGCUUAAGCUAUGUGUUGAAAAUAAUUGAUCAAUUGCAGCUUUAAGUGAGGAGCUAUGGUACUUGAAACAUGAAUGACACCAAUAAAAUGUUUCAAUACACACCCAUUCUUCACAUAACGAAUGACAACUGACAUUUGCUCCUUCACUAAAACGUCUCAAGAUUCAUCAACUAAAAUUGAGAAGAAACUAUCACGAACAUCUUUGAUAAUCACACGUGGACAUUCAUAAGCAAUAGCACUUACAAUAUCUUUUUGCACUCUCAGUGAUGUUAAUUUGCAAUUCUCGGGUUCAUUUGUCAAAGCAACGACCUUAAUCUUAGCAUUUAUGAUUGCACAACCAAUGCAAUAGUUCAAGAAAGUUUCCUUGAUUGUUUGAAUAUUCAGAUUCAUCAUGUCCACGAAAUCCCAGCCUUUGUCGUACAAGAAAUCUAACACAAUCAAUUGACGCAUUCAAUCGAAUUCGAUAAUCUGUUCGAGCUUGAAGCAAUUGCUUAAUGAGAUAGGUUCAAAUACUUUGUUUUUUAUUCUUGAACAAUUUAUAUUUAACCCGAACUUGAUUGUGUGCACUACAUGAAGCCCCAACAUGUUUUCUAAUAUAUUCUUUCUUUUUCCAAUUUGAAAAUUCUUCUUUAACAAAUGAACCACCACUCAAACUGAAAAGAUAGCAGUAAAAGCAAAAAACUGCAUCUUUUGCUAUACUAUAUUCCAACUAAGUAGGAUACUCAUUAUACCACGAAAUACAAAAUCACUUGUCUUUGUUACCCAUUCUUGUGGGUAGAAACGCAUGAUUGCGAGACUGACAAAGACCCCUUUGCACAUAUGCUCUUUGAAUCACGUCUCGAACGUUAAUAUCAUAAUUCUGUAUUGAAACUCUUAAUCCAGGAUCUGAGGGAAGCUGUGCAACAUCAACAUCCCCAAUAUCUCCAAUACCACCAACGUUCCCAACAUCCCCAACAUCUCCAAUACCCCCAACAUCUCCAACAUCAACAUCCCCAACAUCAACAUCAACAUCAACAUUAACAUUAACAUUAUUUUGAUCCCUUUUCUCUCGAUCGUUCCUUUCACUGACAUUUUGCUCAUCACAGGAAGACAUAGAUUUACGUUUAAAGUAUUUCUCCAUGACUGAUACAAACAAAAAAUCGACAACAUUAGAAAUCCCUAAAUCAGUUUCUUCUUCUAAGAAUCUAAAUCAUACCUAUCAAAAUUCAAACAAAGUUUCACUCUUCCUAAAUCAAUUCACAUAUAAAUAAGAAAGCCCUAAAUCGAAAAAUCCCUAAAUUCCUAAAUCAAAAAAAAUCCCUAAAUCAGUUUCUUCUUCUAAGAAUCUCAAUCAUACUUAACAAAAUUCAAACAAAGUUUCACUCUUCCUAAGUCAAUUCACAAAUAAAUAAGAAAGCCCUAAAUCAAAAAUCCCUAAAUUCCUAAAUCAAAAAAUCCCUAAAUCGAAAACACAGUUACAACUUACAUGGAAACUAAAUCAAAAAUUAGAAAAAACAAUUAAUAACAAAUCACUAACUCAGCCAAUCACAAUCUCAAUCAGGAAUGCAAAUAGAAUGGACACACCUUCAACUUCAAGAUUCAAGAAGAUGGCAGACGGCGAAAGCUAUUAUUUAUUUUUCCCUUGUGGCUUGUGCAGUCGUGUAAUCAAACAAAACAAAGUAUUAAAUUUAUUGAGCCGGCGGAAGCUAUUAUUCAUUUCAGAAAAAUUAUUAUCGAAUAGGUAGGGAAGUUACUCCAAAGGCUAAAGCAGUGGCCAAUGGAGUGGCAGAUAGUCGACACUCGACAAGCUUGCAACAGGGGUCUUAGGUCUGGAAGUCCGAAGUCUGGAACAAGAGAGAGACAGAGUUGGAAUCUGCUGGCCGAGUGCGGGACUGUGCAUCUGUAAUAGUAGUGCUGCUCAUGUUGUACUCUAAACUAAUUUUCGUCGUAAACACAGAGAAUCAAUCGCUCUACUCGAAUGCGCAAAUUAUAAAGACAUCUUUAAAAUUUUAUAAAAGUAUUAAUAAAUAGGUAAAAAGAAGAUGAAAUCAGGGUUUAAUUUGACAAGGAUCCCAACAUAAACGUCGAUGCAAAUAUAUAAUUAAAGAUGGAAAUUGAUUUUAACAUAACAAAGACUUACAAUUUGAAGAAAGUGGCAGAUGGUGGUCGAGCCAAGAGGUGAAGCUUCUCGCAGUGAGAGAUGAGCAGAAAUUUGGUGUUCACUACUGUCUGUGCUAAAGUGUGAGAGAGCAGACUACAGACGGACACGAACUCACAGUCACGGAGUGCAGUCGCUGCGUGCAGUCUCGCAAAAGCAAUGUUGGUGUGCUGCUUGUGGUUGUGGCUGUGGGAGUGCCGGAGUGGGAGAGAGAGACGGAGUGUAGAGUUUACUUUUUG